rnacentral:rRNA from 1 species
ACGGCUCAGUAACACGUGGAUAACCUGCCCUAAGGAAGGGGAUAACCUCGGGAAACUGAGGAUAAUACCCUAUAGGUUACAGACGCUGGAAUGCCCUGUAACCGAAAGUUCCGGCGCCUUAGGAUGGAUCUGCGGCCGAUUAGGUUGUUGUUGGGGUAACGGCCCAACAAGCCGAUAAUCGGUACGGGUUGUGGGAGCAAGAGCCCGGAGUUGGAUUCUGAGACAUGAAUCCAGGCCCUACGGGGCGCAGCAGGCGCGAAAACUUUACAAUGCGGGAAACCGUGAUAAGGGAACCCCGAGUGCCUGUAUAUGCAGGCUGUCCAGGUGUCUAAAAAACACCUGAAGAAAGGGCCGGGCAAGACCGGUGCCAGCCGCCGCGGUAAUACCGGCGGCUCGAGUGGUGGCCACUUUUAUUGGGCUUAAAGCGUUCGUAGCUGGGUUGUUAAGUCUCUUGGGAAAUCUGACGGCUCAACCGUCAGGCGUCCAAGGGAUACUGGCAAUCUUGGAACCGGGAGAGGUGAGGGGUACUUCGGGGGUAGGAGUGAAAUCCUGUAAUCCUCGAGGGACCACCUGUGGCGAAGGCGCCUCACCAGGACGGCUUCGACAGUGAGGGACGAAAGCUGGGGGAGCAAACCGGAUUAGAUACCCGGGUAGUCCCAGCCGUAAACGAUGCGCGUUAGGUGUAUCGGUGACCACGAGUCACCGAGGUGCCGAAGGGAAACCGUGAAACGUGCCGCCUGGGAAGUACGGUCGCAAGGCUGAAACUUAAAGGAAUUGGCGGGGGAGCAC